AACGUGGACUAUCCUCUCGACCUGGACGGGAUAGGGACGGGGAACGGGCACCGCUACGUGAACGGGAACGGGAACGGGAACGCCGACGUGUUUGGUGACCGUCUGGACGACCGGGACUCCGACGGGGUAGGGGGCCGGGUGUCCUGCAAGCAGACGGCAAAAGACGCCAUUUUGAUUAGAUUCUGUUCGGGGCGACUCACCGAGAGGUUGGGGAAUCUGCACAACGGGAGCCGCGGGUUGCAGAAUUAAAUCCGUGUGCGGAAUUUGGUGUCCGGCGGGAUUCUCGAGGACGGCGGCCACCGGCGGAUUGUAGAGAGGCGCCGGAGGUGCGGCGGCGGCGGCAAAAUUGUGAUGAUGAUGAUGAUGGUUCUCGUAGAGAGGUGACGGCGAUUCGGGGGGUGGUCCGUAAAUCGAGCUUUUUUAUCGACGGUCACCCCCGCGGCGCAGACAGCAAAGGUCACUGCCAAGGUCAGCGAAAAGGCUGUCUGAAAGGACGGAAGGAAUCGGAAGUUAGAACACGCAUAUCGAGCGGACGACGCGGAGUUUUUCACGGUUCGGACAAAAAUCGCGUUGGAUGCGAAAAAGCGAAGUGGGUUAUCCGGUUGAUCUGAUAUAAUCGGAUUACCGGCGAUGCAGGUAUUUGUCAGAUGGGGAUAAAAUCUUGCCCGGCGGAAGAUAUCCUCGCGGAGCUUUCAUUAAAUUCGUUAUAACGAGAAUAAUCCUGGGCGAAUCCUUUGACGAAGAGUUUUAUUGUUAUGUAGAUUCGUCGUUAUACACGCAUGUUCUCGAUCAACGGAUGCAUAUAAUUACCGUGUGGAUCAUCCUCAUGGUUCGAGAAAUAACGAAGAAACGAAUAAAACCGAGGAAAAAUAAAAGUGAUUUCCAACAAACUGCACUUCAGCGUUAUAAAAACUAAACUAUCAAUCGUUGCCUAUGGGCGUCCCGUAUUUAUACCGAACCGCGAAUGACGGUGAAAAUUAAUUCAAUCAGCGGAGGUAAAUCGACGAUUAAGCGGGGGUGGGGAAUUUCAAGCGUAUGACACGAGGAGCUGUAGCAGGAAUUAUAAUCGAUUAGAUGCAGUGUCGGCUUUCGAUUAUCCUUAUUAUCCGAAUCGUCGAUAAAAAACUGGAUAAGUUUGCUGAUAAAGAAAAAAGGAGAGUGCUGUUCAUCCCCAUAACUGCACCGUUGUACCAUACGUGACUUACAUAAACGUUGUAAUUUUUUUAAUUUCUUCAUACUUCGUUGCGUUAAAGUAAUGUCGUUUUUAUUUUUUGUUUUUCGCCCAUGUCGAAACGCGGAUUGAAAAUUUUCGAAUACCUAUAACCAGAAACGAGUCGCGUUAUUGUGUGCGUGAAAUUCUAACGUGUGGCUUUGGCAUUGGAAAUCGAAAGCAUAUUUGACGAAAGAAAGUUCCCGUACUUCCCUCUUCGGAAUGUGAUAUACAUAUGCGUCAUACAAUAGCAUUUAUGUACCGUAUGGUCUGAACUCGUCGUUGCCGUUUUGGUUUGCGCUUGUGGGAAUUUCAUUUUUACUUUUUCGUACCUUAUACACCAACCCCGAUGGAAUAAAUUCAUCGACGACGAGUUCGAUGUGAAUCUGUAUACGAUAUGUGUAUAUUUUUUAGAACCUAAUUAAAAUCGAAAGAAGAAAACUAUAUAAUAUACACACGAAAAAAAAAUCGAUGCGUGAAUUGGCAUCGCGUGAUUUUUGAUAAAUAAGAAAAAAAAAAAAAAAAAAAAAACAACAUAGUUACGACGUAAUAUUAGCACUGAUAUUAUAUUCGUUUGCAUUAAUUUCACCGGAUGUUAUAUUAUACACCGAUCGAAUAAUUAAAACCCGGAAGUAGGUCACUAGGCUUUAUCCGGUGCAUAUAAGUAUGAUCAGGUAUAUACAGGUGUAAUCGUACAUGAACUGUCCGUUAAACUAUGAAGACGUAUACAUGGGUGGAUGAACGGAUAUACUAUAUUCGACGUAUAAAAUACAUGUCUCGACGUAAUUUCGAUUAAUAUUUAUAUAAGUAUACAUGCGUAUACCUACACUGUUAUACCGGUCAACUGUUAUAUGGUGCAUGCAGGUUGAAAGCCCGUCGAGAUGUCCUUGAUUUUUCACUUUUUCGAUCGAUUAAUUGGCGAUAACUUGAUCAAUUUCAUAGAUGGAAUUAUUUUGAUCGCAGAUUCGGAUUCCUGAGACCAAAAUAUGAUAGGAAUAUCAUAGGAAACUCCAUUGAAAAAAUUCUGCAUCAUCAUCUCAAAUUCUGAGAAAACUGUUAGGCUAUAGGCUUACCGUUUUUUUGGGGUAAAAAGUGAAGUAUUUGUCAAAUUAAUUCCAGGACGCUUUUUCUACGUGAAAUUACGUAACGAACACGAAGUCGUUGAUUAGAUUCGGCUAGCAUCAAAUCCCAUCGAGGCGCACAGAUCAACUAGGACUUGUACCAGAUGCCACAGGUGAACUCAAAGGGGUUGUAUUUUGGGCAGGAAUCCUCCCGAACGAAGACCCGACAAGUUAUAGUUGAGAUUCAUCAUAUUUCCCAACCCUUCUCUCAUCUUUAUUUUCAGGAAAGCAUUGAGGCAUUGAAGUCUCUGAGGCAACGGUGGCAACACACCCGCAUAGAAAAUACGAGACUAUCCUCGUUGCAUUUACACCACUGGACUAUAAAAUAUCCCGUAGUUUGGUGAUCUAUACAUCCAAUCACUAUGUGUUCCGAGUGAAUAAUUACGUAGAAAUGAACAAUAAUGUAUACCUCUUGUAUCUUAGAGAAUAAGAAAUGAAUAAUUGAAUAUUAACUGAAAUGAAACUAUCGUCCAUACUCUUGUAACGCAUUGAUCAUGAGUAUACAAAAAUGAAUUUAUAUUGUUCAUUGCAAAGUCUCAAUAUGUAUUCUUGACGAUUGAUUUAUUAAUAAAAACUCUCUGUAACUAAUA